GACGAACGCUGGCGGCGUGCUUAACACAUGCAAGUCGAACGGAAAGGCCCUGCUUUUGUGGGGUGCUCGAGUGGCGAACGGGUGAGUAACACGUGAGUAACCUGCCCUUGACUUUGGGAUAACUUCAGGAAACUGGGGCUAAUACCGGAUAGGAGCUCCUGCUGCAUGGUGGGGGUUGGAAAGUUUCGGCGGUUGGGGAUGGACUCGCGGCUUAUCAGCUUGUUGGUGGGGUAGUGGCUUACCAAGGCUUUGACGGGUAGCCGGCCUGAGAGGGUGACCGGCCACAUUGGGACUGAGAUACGGCCCAGACUCCUACGGGAGGCAGAAGUGGGGGAUAUUGCACAAUGGGCGGAAGCCUGAUGCAGCAACGCCGCGUGCGGGAUGACGGCUUUCGGGUUGUAAACCGCUUUCGCCUGUGACGAAGCGUGAGUGACGGUAAUGGGUAAAGAAGCACCGGCUAACUACGUG
rnacentral:rRNA from 1 species